UGGGGAAUCUUGCGCAAUGGGCGAAAGCCUGACGCAGCAACGCCGCGUGGGGGAUGAAGGCCUUCGGGUUGUAAACCCCUUUCAGCAGGGACGAAAAUGACGGUACCUGCAGAAGAAGCCCCGGCCAACUACGUGCCAGCAGCCGCGGUAAUACGGGGGGAGCAAGCGUUGUUCGGAUUUACUGGGCGUAAAGGGCGCGGAGGCGGCCACCGCAAGUCGACUGUGAAAUCUCCGGGCUUAACCCGGAAAGGUCAGCCGAUACUGCGGGGCUAGAGUGCAGAAGGGGCAACUGGAAUUCUCGGUGUAGCGGUGAAAUGCGUAGAUAUCGAGAGGAACACCUGCGGCGAAGGCGGGUUGCUGGGCUGACACUGACGCUGAGGCGCGAAAGCUAGGGGAGCGAAC
rnacentral:rRNA from 1 species